CACACUAAUCCUGUCGGACGCUCGUUUAUAAAUCCAAACGCCUCCUGAUUAAAAUAUAAACACAUCGAAUUCAUUUCAAAACGAUUUAAAUUGUUACAAAAGUGUUCUGAAUGGAAAUGUUCGAA
ensembl:ncRNA C24B5.7 ncRNA